CUUGGCGGCAAUAGCGAGGUGGCCCCACUCCUUCCCAUCCCGAACAGGACAGUGAAACGCCUCUGCGCCGAUGAUAGUGUGGAUUCCCAUGCGAAAGUAGGUCACUGCCAAGC
rnacentral:rRNA from 1 species